UCUGAUGAUUGUUAUUAUAUGCAAACUCUAUCAGUGAUAGGUGGUCAUCCUAAUUUUCCCCAAUAUCCAUGAUGCAUGCCUGCAGCAUGUCCUCUAGUGUAUGUAUGGUUCUUUCAUAUUGUUCAUUCGUCUAUGGGUUGAAGAUUAUACUGAAACACAACUGCAUUCCAAGUGUCUUUUAAAAAUUAUCCCAAAAAUUGAGAUGUAAACUGAGGGUACUGAUCAGAUAUAAUAGAGACUGAAAUUCCAUGAAGUUUGACUAUUUUUUGGAUAUAAAGUCCGGCCAGUUUAUCUAGUGGAUCUAUAAUCUUUAUUGCAAGGAAGGG
rnacentral:lncRNA from 1 species